UAGUAAUAUGGUGUCCUUUUUCAAUUCCUUCUCGGUUGCAUAUCAAAACCCAUUUGCGAAACACUUGAUUCAUCCCGAUUUUGUAUAGUUUCUGGUUUGAGAUUUCAAUUUCAAAUAAACUAUAUUUGUUUUCUCAUUUACUUCUUACUGUCACUCUCAGUUGUGAUUAUCAACUUAAGAUUUCAGACUUAUAAAGUUCUCAUCCGCCAUGGAUAUCUUGGUGAUCAAGAUGCAAACAAGAGGGGGCGUUAUUAUUUAUUAGUUUUUUAAUUUAUUUUUGUUUUUAAUGAAAACAAAUUGGGGUUUCGGAGAAGACUGAAUAUUCAAAUAAUAGGCAUUCAGAAUUACUAUACAAAUUGGAGUUUCGGAGCUGUGAACCUUAGAUUUUUAUAUUUUCUUGUGUUUUUUUCUUUUAUUAUACUAGAAGGUAGGCACUGUAACUUUCAUAUACUCCCAAUCUUUGUUUCUGGUAAUAAACUCAUAUGUAUCUACUUUUCAA